AAUGGGUCAGCGACUUAUAUUCUGUAGCAAGGUUAACCGAAUAGGGGAGCCGAAGGGAAACCGAGUCUUAACUGGGCGUUAAGUUGCAGGGUAUAGACCCGAAACCCGGUGAUCUAGCCAUGGGCAGGUUGAAGGUUGGGUAACACUAACUGGAGGACCGAACCGACUAAUGUUGAAAAAUUAGCGGAUGACUUGUGGCUGGGGGUGAAAGGCCAAUCAAACCGGGAGAUAGCUGGUUCUCCCCGAAAGCUAUUUAGGUAGCGCCUCGUGAAUUCAUCUCCGGGGGUAGAGCACUGUUUCGGCAAGGGGGUCAUCCCGACUUACCAACCCGAUGCAAACUGCGAAUACCGGAGAAUGUUAUCACGGGAGACACACGGCGGGUGCUAACGUCCGUCGUGAAGAGGGAAACAACCCAGACCGCCAGCUAAGGUCCCAAAGUCAUGGUUAAGUGGGAAACGAUGUGGGAAGGCCCAGACAGCCAGGAUGUUGGCUUAGAAGCAGCCAUCAUUUAAAGAAAGCGUAAUAGCUCACUGGUCGAGUCGGCCUGCGCGGAAGAUGUAACGGGGCUAAACCAUGCACCGAAGCUGCGGCAGCGACACUAUGUGUUGUUGGGUAGGGGAGCGUUCUGUAAGCCUGUGAAGGUGUACUGUGAGGUAUGCUGGAGGUAUCAGAAGUGCGAAUGCUGACAUAAGUAACGAUAAAGCGGGUGAAAAGCCCGCUCGCCGGAAGACCAAGGGUUCCUGUCCAACGUUAAUCGGGGCAGGGUGAGUCGACCCCUAAGGCGAGGCCGAAAGGCGUAGUCGAUGGGAAACAGGUUAAUAUUCCUGUACUUGGUGUUACUGCGAAGGGGGGACGGAGAAGGCUAUGUUGGCCGGGCGACGGUUGUCCCGGUUUAAGCGUGUAGGCUGGUUUUCCAGGCAAAUCCGGAAAAUCAAGGCUGAGGCGUGAUGACGAGGCACUACGGUGCUGAAGCGACAAAUGCCCUGCUUCCAGGAAAAGCCUCUAAGCAUCAGGUAACAUCAAAUCGUACCCCAAACCGACACAGGUGGUCAGGUAGAGAAUACCAAGGCGCUUGAGAGAACUCGGGUGAAGGAACUAGGCAAAAUGGUGCCGUAACUUCGGGAGAAGGCACGCUGAUAUGUAGGUGAAGCGACUUGCUCGUGGAGCUGAAAUCAGUCGAAGAUACCAGCUGGCUGCAACUGUUUAUUAAAAACACAGCACUGUGCAAACACGAAAGUGGACGUAUACGGUGUGACGCCUGCCCGGUGCCGGAAGGUUAAUUGAUGGGGUUAGCGGUAACGCGAAGCUCUUGAUCGAAGCCCCGGUAAACGGCGGCCGUAACUAUAACGGUCCUAAGGUAGCGAAAUUCCUUGUCGGGUAAGUUCCGACCUGCACGAAUGGCGUAAUGAUGGCCAGGCUGUCUCCACCCGAGACUCAGUGAAAUUGAACUCGCUGUGAAGAUGCAGUGUACCCGCGGCAAGACGGAAAGACCCCGUGAACCUUUAC
rnacentral:rRNA from 1 species